UGGAGUUUUAAUUGCCUCUGGGUUCUGAAUUCCUUUGCACUUACCCUUCUCCAGGUGAAUUAGCCAGGAGCGCCUCAGCGACCUGUCUUCUUUCGCCUUUCACAAGGCGUAUAGGAGGCGGUGGACAGGCCGAGGUUUUAUAGGAUUGCAGUACCAGAUUACCUUGGUCAUCACUGUAAUAGCGACUCAGGAAAGUCUCUAGUUCCCUAACCUGCUUCCCCCACAAUACUUCACAAAUUCUACAGAAACAGAAAUAGAAGUUUUAAUUACCUACAUUUAUAACUGUAGCAUCCUUGGAGAUUCAUGCUGGAUGUAUUAAAUGCUGUUUUGGUCACUGUAAAAAUAUCUACCAAAUGAUGAGCAGGUUAUUACAAAAUGGAAAGGGCCAAUAGAACCACAGAGAUCGUCUCUCAUACUGUUAUAAUAUUAGGGUCAUACGGAAACUUCUCUAAUGUGUGAAAUGUUUGCUGUGUGGAGACCCCAAUACUCUGUAACUUCCAAAAUGUAAUAAACAUGGUGGACGUCCCAAUAUCUUGAUGUAAACGCCCUAAGCCCCUAAAGUGUAAACGCCCUGCUCCUAGCAUAAGGCACACCGUCUGGCCCACACGAUAAGACACAAGUUGUUUACUACCAGCUAUAUAAGCACCCGACCGUCUUCAGUCGAGGUCUCCUGCCUGAUGAGAGGAGGACUCCGUGUCGCUCCGUGAGACAAGCCCCGGACUGACUGCUCUGCUGUGCAAGCCUGAACCAACUGCGGCCGCCUGUCUGUCCCCGUCUUCGUUGUCCGUCUUUCGGUGUGCAUCACCGGGUGGCCUUUGCUGGAGCCUAGGACCCACUAGGAAUAGGAGUCAGUGGAAACUGAGACU